ensembl:lincRNA Gm12746 predicted gene 12746
AAGGGGCUCACAGCUGCUGGGCUGUGAACAAGCUGGACUUGGCUGUCUCACAACUGAAGAGGCAUUGAAGGGCAGGCUGGCGAUCCAGGCAAAGGGAACUGGGAGGAUUUCUUCCACUGGGACUGUCCCAAGAAAACCCUGGACCAACCCUGUCUCAGGCAGGUCAGAGCUCCAAGAUGGCUCAGCAGGAAAAGGUGUCUAUCACCAAGACUGACAGCUCAACCUGGGGCUCAGGCUGUAGAAGGAGAAAGCUGACUCUUGAAAGUUGUCCUGUGACAUAUAGCAUCACACACACACACACACACACACACACACACACACACACCCGCGCAGCUGACUCUUGAAAGUUGUCCUGUGACAUAUAGCAUCACACACACACACACCCGCGCCUAGGCUCUUUAACCACAGAGAUAGAAACAAGGCCGGAGGGUGGGGUACCUCCUCUGUGUUCAUGUCUUCUCAGUGGCUCUGACCCUGCUCUGUACUCUUCUAUCUGGUCUCGGUCUUUUAACAUUCACUUCUGCUGUGUCACUUUCCUGGCCAGACAACUUUAGGGACCCUCCACCCCCUCCCCCAGCCCCUAUUCUGAGGAAUAGAUUCCAGCUCCCACACCUUCCAUGC